UUAAGCGGAGCGGGCCUCGGUUCCGGGCCUUGUCCGGAGAAUAGGGAACGCGGUGCAAACCCGCGACUGCCCCCGCAACUGUGAGCGGUGAGUGCGACCGGCAUAUGCCACUGGGCGAAACGCCCGGGAAGGCCCGCGUCGCGCGAUGACCCGCAAGUCAGGAGACCUGCCAAGGUGAUCACCCUCCCC
rnacentral:ncRNA from 22 species